rnacentral:SRP_RNA from 1 species
GGGUAAGUCCUACACGACCAGCUCCCUCUGAACUCCCCCAGGUCUUGACCGAAGCAAGGGUAGGAGGUUGUAGCGGUGCGAUGUAGUUAGCUUACCCUUU